GACGAACGCUGGCGGCGUGCCUAAUACAUGCAAGUCGAACGCUUCUUUCCUCCCGUGUGCUUGCACUCAAUUGGAAAGAGGAGUGGCGGACGGGUGAGUAACACGUCGGUAACCUACCCAUCAGAGGGGGAUAACACUUGUAAACAGGUGCUAAUACCGCAUAACAGUUUAUGCCGCAUGGCAUAAGAGUGAUAGGCGCUUUCGGGUGUCGCUGAUGGAUGGACCCGCGGUGCAUUAGCUAGAUGGCGAGGUAACGGCUCACCAAGGCGGCGAUGCAUAGCCGACCUGAGAGGGUGAUCGGCCACACUGGGACUGAGACACGGCCCAGACUCCUACGGGAGGCAGCAGUAGGGAAUCUUCGGCAAUGGACGAAAGUCGGACCGAGCAACGCCGCGUGAGUGAAGAAGGUUUUCGGAUCGUAAAACUCUGUUGUUAGAGAAGAACAAGGACGUUAGUAACUGAACGUCCCCUGACGGUAGCUAAACAGAAAGCCACGGCUAACUACGUG
rnacentral:rRNA from 1 species